rnacentral:rRNA from 1 species
GUCUAUGACCAUACUACCCUGACCCGCCCAAUCUCAUCUGAUCUCGGAAGCUAAGCAGGGUUGGCCUGGUUCGCACUUGGAUGGGAGGAGGAAGGUGGAGACAGAAACU